GAAGGAAUAUCGGAGACGGAUGGGCAUGCGGCGCAUUAGCUAGUUGGCGGGGUAACGGCCCACCAAGGCGACGAUGCGUAGGGGUUCUGAGAGGAAGGUCCCCCACACUGGUACUGAGACACGGACCAGACUCCUACGGGAGGCAGCAGUGAGGAAUAUUGGUCAAUGGGCGAGAGCCUGAACCAGCCAAGUCGCGUGAGGGAGUACUGCCCUAUGGGUUGUAAACCUCUUUUGUCGGGGAGCAAAAGCCGGACGUGUCCGGCUGUGAGAGUACCCGAAGAAAAAGCAUCGGCUAACUCCGUGCCAGCAGCCGCGGUAAUACGGAGGAUGCGAGCGUUAUCCGGAUUUAUUGGGUUUAGAGGGUGCGCAGGCGGAUUUUUAAGUCAGCGGUCAAAUCGUGGGGCUCAACCCCAUCCAGCCGUUGAAACUGGGGAUCUAGAGUGUGCGAGAGGUAUGCGGAAUGCGUGGUGUAGCGGUGAAAUGCAUAGAUAUCACGCAGAACUCCGAUUGCGAAGGCAGCAUACCGGCGCCCGACUGACGCUGAGGCACGAAAGCGUGGGUAUCGAACAGGAUUAGAUACCCUGGUAGUCCACGCAGUAAACGAUGA
rnacentral:rRNA from 1 species